AUAAUCCUCAUCCCAAAAUCGGAUGUGGCGGCUUCCCCCUACGACUACAGGCCAAUUAGUCUCAUGCAUAGCAUUGCCAAGAUUAUUUGCCAGAUCAUGGCUAACAUGCUAGCCCCGUAGCUACAACACCUAAUUUCUGUUUGCCAGAGUGCAUUUAUCAAAGGGAGGUCUAUAUAGGACAACUUCCUCUAUGUCCAAAGCAACGUUCAUAGUGCACACUGUCACAAGAUCGAUCUCCUCUUCUUGAAGCUGGAUAUUGCAAAGGGGUUUGAUCCAAUUCAUUGGGGCUACCUUCUGGAAGUUCUCUCUGCUUUUGGAUUUGGGCCACGGUGGUGA
rnacentral:rRNA from 1 species